UACGAAGGGGGCUAGCGUUGUUCGGAAUUACUGGGCGUAAAGCGCGCGUAGGCGGCGCGGUAUGUCGUGCGUGAAAUCUCCCGGCUUAACUGGGAGGGGCCGUGCGAAACUGCCGGGCUUGAGGUCGGAAGGGGAAAGUGGAAUUCCGGGUGUAGUGGUGGAAUACGUAGAUAUCCGGAGGAACACCAGCGGCGAAGGCGGCUUUCUGGUCCGAUACUGACGCUGAGGUGCGAAAGCGUGGGGAGCGAUCCGG
rnacentral:rRNA from 1 species